rnacentral:rRNA from 1 species
UACGGGGGGGGCAAGCGUUGUUCGGAAUUACUGGGCGUAAAGGGCUCGUAGGCGGCCAACUAAGUCAGACGUGAAAUCCCUCGGCUUAACCGGGGAACUGCGUCUGAUACUGGAUGGCUUGAGUUUGGGAGAGGGAUGCGGAAUUCCAGGUGUAGCGGUGAAAUGCGUAGAUAUCAGGAGGAACACCGGUGGCGAAGGCGGAUCUCUGGGCCAUUACUGACGCUGAGGAGCGAAAGCGUGGGGAGCGAUCCGG